UGAACACGUCUCUGCUAUUCAUUUCCAAUUUCCAGAGCUCUGUAUGAGUUGGCAAAUAUCCAUCAUCCACAAAGGGCCCAGGCUGAUUUUAUCCCCAACAAACUGGUGUCAGAAGUUUGGGUGCAAUUAGGAACGGAGUUGCAGGUAAGGGGGUCUUUAGCCCCUUGGGGACACAACUUCUGGAAUUUAAGGGAAUCAUGACGGAGUAUUUCUGUCGUGUGUCCUUAAGGGGUUGGGGACCUUUGCCUGCUUCUGCCAUCCUCCCACACAUUGCAUUUCUUGUUUUAAUGGGGUUUUUCACUAUUUACAUUUUUAAAGGGGAUUUUCACAGGAUAAUGUCUUUGGUAGACAUGGUAUUUUGUUAAGUCUUAGGUAGACUUCUAUUACUCCACGGGUUGGAGGAUUGCCUUUGGUAGGUAGUAGCAGUUAUGUGCACAUUUCCUCUUUGGUAAGAGGUUCACCUUUGGCCAGGUGUUAAAAAUAAUUUCAAG